UCCAGAAGGAAGGUGACGGAAGAUGCAUCUCAACCAAAUAACAGCGCAUGGCUCUGGACUCAGAAAAUGGUUCACCCUCUGUCACAGGGUGCAUCAUGGGGACAGCAGCCUCCCUGUGGCUCCUCAGAGCUGAAGUGACCCACCAUGGGGAAUGCACCCUUCUCUUCCCCCCACCUGGUGCCAUCCUGCCCUCCAGCCUACAACCCCAAGAAGCACCUUCUCCUCUGUAGAUUUCAGUUCUGGACUCAGUAUCCCCUCCUGAGGCUUCCCCCACCCUCUCUGGGAGCAUCCUACUUCUCAAUACUUGCACAGCCCCUGGGAAAGAGCGCCUUCUUCCUCUCACCUGGAUAUUCCUUGUGAAGCCUCUGUCGCAGGACCCGCCC